CCCAGCUCGCCCUGCCCCUGGGUGCAGGGCACACGUGCCGCCCCAGUGCCCGAUCGGCUUGCUCCGCCGCUGAGGUGGAGAAGAGUCAGUGAAGGAUCUGACCUUGGAAGUGGCGGGUCCUCGACUCACAAGUCCUCCUUCUCCCAGUGCAUAUGAACUCUCCUAUGAGCAGCACUGAAGAAUCCUGGUGCAUUGGUGAACCUGUGGCCCUACAGGUGCAGGGGGACUACAAUUCCCAUCAGCCAUGGCCAACAAGGUAUCUUAGGCCAAGACAUACCGAAAGAAAAGAGGACUCUAUUUAUGUAUGCCACUACAGCUGUGAGAAUGUUGAUUGCACAAAACUGGAAGACUGGAGAAACACCAACUAAAGAAC